UACGUAGGGUGCAAGCGUUAAUCGGAAUUACUGGGCGUAAAGCGUGCGCAGGCGGUUGUGCAAGACAGAUGUGAAAUCCCCGGGCUCAACCUGGGAAUUGCAUUUGUGACUGCACGGCUAGAGUGUGUCAGAGGGGGGUAGAAUUCCACGUGUAGCAGUGAAAUGCGUAGAGAUGUGGAGGAAUACCGAUGGCGAAGGCAGCCCCCUGGGAUAACACUGACGCUCAUGCGCGAAAGCGUGGGGAGCAAACA
rnacentral:rRNA from 1 species